UUUAUAACUGAUCAAGUUUUGAGCAUUUUUACCUUGGGAAAAUAGGUGAGUACAGACGAAUUUAUUACCUCCUCAUUUUCAGUAUAAGUGGCAGAGUUUGACCAGUGUAAUUUUCUUUUGCAGAGUUUGACGAGUUGUUUGCAUAUCAUAUGUUACUGCUCAAGUCCAAAAACAUAUGAUGGAAUAAUUCUUUAGGAAGUUGAUUUGGAGGAUUGCAAGAAGUGAAACAAAAGGUGGGCAACCUCUGUACUAUAUGAAAGUUAUCUUAUAUCUCAGAUUUUUCAAGUUUUUAUAUAUCUUUCAACAAAUACCUUCACAAUCAGCUCAUCGGCGCAUAGAGUUUUAGUUGUGAUGCAGGCUGGUGGAAUUUGGACAAGAGGGGUUGCUCUGAUGGUAAGAAACCCCCACUUCCAACCGAGAGGUUGUGAGUUCGAGUCUCCGAAAGAGCAAGGUGGGAAGUUUCUUGGAGGGAAAGAUGCUGGGGGUCUAUUUGGAAACAGCCUCUCUACCCCAGGGUAGAGGUAAGGUCUGAGUACAUACUACCCUCCCCAGACCCCACUAUGUGGGAUUAUACUAGGUCAAAAUAAUUUGAAUUCCUUUAUUUUCCGAAAAGAAGAGGACAUGAUGAGGGUUAUAGCAUUAAGUUAUUACAAUUUACGUGAUCCCUUGAAGUCGUGCUUGAUUCACCUUGCAAGUAUUCCGAAGGACGAAGUAAUUCCAAUCCGUAAUUUGGAAAUUUUAUGGCCUGCUGAAGGAUUUUUGGAGCAGAGAGAGAAGAAGAGUGUGGAAGAAGUGGUUGCGAUUUAUCUGGAUAAUUUAAUUUCCAGUAGCUUGGUAAUUUCUUUCGAUAAAAUAGGUGACGAUCAGACUUGCCAAAUUCAUGAUCUUGUGCAUGAGUUUUGUUUGAUAAAAGCAAGAGAGGAAAAGUUAUUUGACUUGAUAAGUUCAAGUGCUCCAUCAUCAUCUUCUUCAGAUUUGAUGCCACGUCAAAUGAACAUUGCAUAUAGUAAGUGGCAUAACAACAGGCAUUCUGGUAAACACCUUUAUUCUUUGAGGAUAACUGGACACAAGUUUGGUGACAAUAGUCUUAAUGAUAUAUGUCACCUAAGACACUUGAGGCUUCUUAGAGUGUUGCAACUGGAUGACUCUUCAAUUCUGUUGAGUGAUUCUUUGUUGAAUGAAAUAUGCAGACUGGUUCAUUUGAGAUACUUAGAGAUUCGCACAGAAGUUAAAUCUCUGCCUUCGUCGUUUUCAAAUCUCUUGAAUCUGGAAACUCUGUGGGUGAAUAAAUAUGGACCACCCAUGGUAUUAUUACCAACAAUUUGGAAUCUUAUAAAGUUGCGAGUGCUGGCUAUAUAUAAAUGUUUCUUCUUUGUUUUGUAUAAGAAUGAGUCAAUACUGGUUGCAGAGAACUCAAAGUCAGAGAGCUUGAGAUUAUUACGGGGACUCGAAGUUUCCUAUUCAAAAGACACAGAGGAUAUUUUCAAAAGGUUUCCCAAUCUUCACAAGCUUCGAUUUGAUCUCAAGGAAUCAUGGGAUUGUUCAAGAGGGCGAUAUCGGUUCCCGAAAUUGGACUUCUUAAAUGAACUAGAAUCUCUCGAAGUAACUUUUAUAAGUUCAAAUUCAAAUGAUAGUGCGCUCUCUAUAGCGACAAAUCGGCUUUGGGAUUUUCAUUUCCCUUCGAGUGUAAAAAUGUUGUGUUUGCGUGAGUUUCCUCUGACAUCCGAUUCACUAUCAACAAUUGGAAUACUGUCCAACCUUGAAGAGCUGUACCUUAAAGACACAAUCAUCGAGGGGGAAGAAUGGAACAUGGGGGAGGAAGACACCUUCCAGAAUCUCAAAUGUUUGACAUUGCAGCGAGUGAAUCUUGCUAAGUGGGAGGUUAGAGAGGAAUCCUUUCCUGUGCUUGAGAAAUUACGACAGCGGGAUUGUCGUUAGCUUGAGGAGAUUCAGCCAAGUUUCGGGGAUAUUUGUUCAUUAAAAAGUAUCGAACUGAAGUGGAGCCCUCAACUUGUAGAAUCUGCUCUGAAGAUUAAGCAAGAUGUUGAAGAUAUGAUGGGGGAUAUUCAGGUCCUUGUUUAUAACUGAUCAAGUUUUGAGCAUUUUUACCUUGGGAAAAUAGGUGAGUACAGACGAAUUUAUUACCUCCUCAUUUUCAGUAUAAGUGGCAGAGUUUGACCAGUGUAAUUUUCUUUUGCAGAGUUUGACGAGUUGUUUGCAUAUCAUAUGUUACUGCUCAAGUCCAAAAACAUAUGAUGGAAUAAUUCUUUAGGAAGUUGAUUUGGAGGAUGACAUAUGAUGGAAUAAUUCUUUAGGAAGUGGAUUUGGAGGAUAGCAAGAAGUGAAACAAAAGGUGGGCAACCUCUGUACUAUAUGAAAGUUAUCUUAUACCUCAGAUUUUUCAAGUUUUUAUAUAUCUUUCAACAAAUACCUUCACAAUCAGCUCAUCGGCGCAUAGAGUUUUAGUUGUGAUGCAGGCUGGUGGAAUUCACACGCACCAAGAAUCAGCCCAUCGACGCAUUUGGAGUUGGAGGCUGCUGUAUCAUGAUCGAGAUGUGAAUUCAAUUUAAGUCAGAGUGUAUAUAAUAUAGGCAAGUACAGUGAUGAAGAAGUUGUGAAUACAAUGCCAUUCUCCUCAUCUCUUUCACCAAUCUUUCAAAUGCUACCCACUGAGGGCUCAAAUUUUUAAAAGCAGAAUAAUGGGUGUAAUGCCACUUCCAUUAUUACUAUUCAAAUUUGUACUGCUUUCUACCAGCAUAUGCUAUUUAUUGUAACUUUUACCUACUAUAUGCGACAAGAGGGGUUGCUCUGAUGGUAAUCAACCCCUACUUUCAAUCGAGAGGUUGUGAGUUCGAGUUUCCCCAAGAGCAAGGUGGGAAGUUCUUGGAGGG
rnacentral:lncRNA from 1 species